rnacentral:rRNA from 1 species
GACUAGAGUUUGAUCCUGGCUCAGAAUGAACGCUGGCGGCAGGCCUAACACAUGCAAGUCGAGCGAAGUCUUCGGACUUAGCGGCGGACGGGUGAGUAACGCGUGGGAACAUGCCCAAAGGUACGGAAUAGCCCCGGGAAACUGGGAGUAAUACCGUAUGUGCCCUUCGGGGGAAAGAUUUAUCGCCUUUGGAUUGGCCCGCGUUGGAUUAGGUAGUUGGUGGGGUAAUGGCCUACCAAGCCGACGAUCCAUAGCUGGUUUGAGAGGAUGAUCAGCCACACUGGGACUGAGACACGGCCCAGACUCCUACGGGAGGCAGCAGUGGGGAAUCUUAGACAAUGGGCGCAAGCCUGAUCUAGCCAUGCCGCGUGAUCGAUGAAGGCCUUAGGGUUGUAAAGAUCUUUCAGGUGGGAAGAUAAUGACGGUACCACCAGAAGAAGCCCCGGCUAACUCC